rnacentral:rRNA from 1 species
AGCGAACGCUGGCGGCAUGCCUAACACAUGCAAGUCGCACGGGGGGGGCUUCGGCCUCCCAGUGGCGGACGGGUGAGGAACGCGUAGGGACCUGUCGAGGGGUGGGGGAUAACCGCGGGAAACUGCGGCUAAUACCGCAUGACGCCGCGGCGUGACAGCCGGGGCCAAAGGCGAAAGCCGCCCGCCGAGGGGCCUGCGUCCGAUUAGCUGGUUGGCGGGGUAGCGGCCCACCAAGGCGUCGAUCGGUAGCUGGUCUGAGAGGGUGAUCAGCCACACCGGGCUGAGACACGGCCCGGACUCCUACGGGAGGCAGCAGUGGGGAAUAUUGGACAAUGGGCGCAAGCCUGAUCCAGCAAUGCCGCGUGGGUGAAGAAGGUCUUCGGAUUGUAAAGCCCUUUCGGCGGGGACGAUGGUGACGGUACCCGCAGAAGAAGCCCCGGCUAACUUCGUG